rnacentral:rRNA from 1 species
CAGUCGCCGCGGGAAUACGUAGGGUGCAAGCGUUACUCGGAAUUACUGGGCGUAAAGCGUGCGUAGGUGGUGGUUUAAGUCCGUUGUGAAAGCCCUGGGCUCAACCUGGGAAUUGCAGUGGAUACUGGGUCACUAGAGUGUGGUAGAGGAUAGUGGAAUUUCCGGUGUAGCAGUGAAAUGCGUAGAGAUCGGAAGGAACAUCUGUGGCGAAGGCGACUAUCUGGGCCAACACUGACACUGAGGCACGAAAGCGUGGGGAGCAAACAGGAUUAGAUACCCGGGUAGUCCCUGUCUCUUAUAC